AAGGAGCAGGCGAGCGCUCCUGGGAAGCUGUGUUAUGUGAAUGACCGUGGGUGUCAUGGAGGAAGGAGCAGGCGAGCACUCCUGGGAAGCUGUGUUCUGUGAAUGACCUUGGGUGUCAUGUCAUGUUGGCAACUCUGAAGAUUGCAUUUGUGCUUGUUGCUUUGAAUAUUAAAUCCUGAGUGAUGGGUCUUUUGUUUCAGCAAAUUAAAAAGGAUCUGAAGAAAUACUCUAAGAUCUUUGAACAGAAGGAUCGUUUGAGUCAGUCCAAAGCCUCAAAGGUGAGCCUCAUUCCCCAGAGUGAGGGCUGUGCUGCGACAUCCGCCAUCACGGCAAAGGUGGUGGGGCUGCGGGGCCAAGGCGGGGCAAAGGCAGGGCUGCUGUGUGUGUGCUCAGAGUUGCCUCUGCCCCGGAGACACUGGUUCUGUUUCCCCCCCUAGGAGGGAUGCAGUGGGGAACUGGGGUUGGCACGGGGACCUGGAGUUGGUGACCUCACUGCUGCCUGGUGGGCGGGGGGCAGCGUUGGGGGGAAAGUGAGAACAAAUGGACUGGCCAUUCCUGCUUGAGCGCCUCCGUAUGCUGUCCUUCUGGCACCGUCCGCCUGGGUGUGGGCUCUUCGCGAUGGGGAGGCACGUGUCUUACCAGUUCUGUGCUUUGCCCAACCUCGUGCAUAGGAAUUGGUGGAGAGAAGGCGCACCAUGAUGGAAGAUUUCCGGAAGUACCGGAAAAUGGCCCAGGAGCUCUAUAUGGAGCAGAAAAACGAGCGCCUGGAGUUGCGAGGAGGGGUGGACACUGACGAGCUGGACAGCAACGUGGACGACUGGGAAGAGGAGACCAUUGAGUUCUUCGUCACUGAAGAAAUCAUCCCCCUCGGGAAUCAGGAGUGACCUGGAGCGCUGUGGUGAGUGUCUGCAGGGGGCGCAAUGGGGGUCCUGUUGGCUGCUCUCACGCUGCUUCGGUUAUCCCCAUCACUGAGGAAGCAUCUCCUUUAAGGCAGGGGUGAAGGAUGAAGCCCUAGUGUCGUGUGCCCAGGGUUAGCUGAACCUCGUGAAAUGUGGAGUGGGUGCUGACGUGGCCUUGACUGCUCCCUCUGACCACAUUGCAGAUGGUGCCUUUCAGGCGAUGCUGGGUGAGGGAGGAGCUGUGGCCAGGUGUUGGGAAGUGCCAGGAAGAGGAGGGUGGCCAUGCCUGGCCAUUUCCUGACGCCUGUGCUAGUGACGGCCGCGGUGUGUCCACCGGAAAGAAACACUGGCGUGCGCGGCUAUGACUCUGGUUUCAGGAGUUCUGAGACAAGAGCCUUCCAAGUCGGGGGCUGGGGAGCAGAGUGCGGGAGCUCCUGAGUCCUGGGGGCCUCCGCGCCUCACAGCAUGGGCACAUGUGGGACAGAAGGCCUAAUGGGGUGCCUGAGGGUGGCCUGGUUGCUGUCCCCAGGGUGGGACCAUGAGCGAGUAGGGGUGGCACAUGGGCUCAGCUCUCUGGCCGGGGUGGCUCCUCUUGCAGGACUCAACAUGAGCCCCAAGGCGAUGUUCAGGGAAUCCCUCAGCCUUUUGAGGUGGUGCCGUUUAGGGCUGCCAUGCCUGUCUGUCCAGGGGACGGACCCCACCUGCUGCUCCUGCGCUGAGCUGCAGGACGGAGCGUGAGCCGCAGUUCGUCUGUUGCAGUGCAGCCACGUAUGGCGUGGAGCCGAGGCCAUCCUGCAGGAAGCCACGUGACUCCCGCCUCCUCCCCGUGCUCUCUGGCUCUGGACUGUGACUGCGCCUGGAUUCUGCCAUUGCGACACAUUUUUGUGCCUUUCAGCCCCUGGUGUCUGCAGUGGGGGGUUUAAGGCACCCGCUUCCAUUUCUUUCUUGUUUGGAGUUUUCUGUCGGAACCGCCGGCGUUGGCUCCGUAGACUUAGCAACGCCACCGGCAGCACCUUCUCCUGCGCCCAGUGAUGUUUCCACGGUGCCUGUACACAGCCGAGCGGCAUUUCCGUUGAAGGACUUGCAUCCCCAUCGUGGGCAGUGCUGGAUGUGUCCUGGAGACCCACCGGGAGGGCACCGCCAUGCCUCGCACCGCCACCGUGCAGGUUGUGGCUGGUUUUCUCCGCAGGUUGAACGUGGAAAUAAAAGCAAACUUGUAUG
rnacentral:sRNA from 1 species